GAUAGAACGUAGCAAAAUGCGAUAAGUAAUGUGAAUUGCAGAAUUCAGUGAAUCAUCGAAUCUUUGAACGCACAUUGCGCCCGCCAGUAUUCUGGCGGGCAUGCCUGUUCGAGCGUCAUUUCAACCCUCAAGCACAGCUUGGUGUUGGGACUCGCGUUAAUUCGCGUUCCCCAAAUUGAUUGGCGGUCACGUCGAGCUUCCAUAGCGUAGUAGUAAAACCCUCGUUACUGGUAAUCGUCGCGGCCACGCCGUUAAACCCCAACUUCUGAAUGUUGACCUCGGAUCAGGUAGGAAUACCCGCUGAACUUAAGCAUAUCAAUAAGCGGAGGA
rnacentral:misc_RNA from 1 species